UACGUAGGGGGCAAGCGUUGUCCGGAGUUAUUGGGCGUAAAGCGCGCGCAGGCGGCUUGACGCGCCCGACGUGAAAGCCCCCGGCUUAACCGGGGAACUGCGUCUGAUACUGGAUGGCUUGAGUUUGGGAGAGGGAUGCGGAAUUCCAGGUGUAGCGGUGAAAUGCGCAGAUAUCAGGAGGAACACCGGUGGCGAAGGCGGGUCUCUGGGCCGAUACUGACGCUGAGGAGCGAAAGCGUGGGGAGCGAACAGG
rnacentral:rRNA from 1 species